rnacentral:rRNA from 1 species
UACGUAGGGUGCAAGCGUUGUCCGGAAUUAUUGGGCGUAAAGAGCUCGUAGGCGGUUCGUCGCGUCGGCUGUGAAAAUCCCGGAGCUCAACUCCGGGUCUGCAGUCGAUACGGGCGGACUCGAGUUCGGCAGGGGAGACUGGAAUUCCUGGUGUAGCGGUGAAAUGCGCAGAUAUCAGGAGGAACACCGGUGGCGAAGGCGGGUCUCUGGGCCGAUACUGACGCUGAGGAGCGAAAGCGUGGGGAGCGAACAGGA